rnacentral:rRNA from 1 species
AAAUUGAAGAGUUUGAUCAUGGCUCAGAUUGAACGCUGGCGGCAGGCCUAACACAUGCAAGUCGAACGGUAACAGAAAGAAGCUUGCUUCUUUGCUGACGAGUGGCGGACGGGUGAGUAAUGUCUGGGAAACUGCCUGGUGGAGGGGGAUAACUACUGGAAACGGUAGCUAAUACCGCAUAA